AAGACAAAAUAAGUAGGGCUUUUUAUUUGAUUUAUUGGACAAUCAGGUGCCUUGAUAUUUUUGAAAACCAGCUAGGAGAAAAUAUUAACAAGAUAGAGCUUCCAAGUAUUCAUGGUGAAGUCUUUUUGCCAUAGCUGUACAAAUUACCAUCCUGGUUUUAAUUUCUGUGCCAUUCCGUUUAUCUACAAUGAAAGUUACAGUAAAUACUCCUGAAAAGAUGGAUAAUAUUUUUAAAAGGAUAUCUGAAUUGUUUUGUGUAAAAGAUAUUGAAAUGUAUGGUAAUUUUGUGUGUGUAAGAGAGACGAAGGACUGGAUAGUAAUUUCUUUUGUACAAAAGCAUAACUGCUGAAGAGAAUGUAGAACGUGCAGUUUGUAGAAAUUCACUGCAGCACAUUUGGGAAGCUGGGCCUUGCCAGCCACACUCGCUCACACACCUGUUAAAAUGACGCAGGUGACUCUAGUCAAAGCCACGCAAACAGUCCUCAGCAAACCGACAGACACUAAUCUCAGUAUCUCGUUCAGCGGCUUUGGCGAUCGGAGGGAACUGUGACAAACCUUUCAAGCAAAAGGUCAGAACAGUUCUUUGACCCCUUCUUACAUUACUCAGCCAAACCAAGGUCUCCACGACCGGCUGAUCGGCUCUUCAAACGAACAAAACAGGAAAGGACUUCAUAAGAUGAACGGUAGAUCGGAUAAAUUGUUUACAGUUUACACUCACAGAGAUUGUCAUGAAAGAGUGGGGGUGGGGCUGUAGUGUGGGUUUGUACAUCUGUGUUACUCUAGAAAUGACGUAGUUUCUCUCUUUAGAAAUUACGUCAUUUACGCGGUAGCGGGUGGGAGCUUAGGCUCGCGGUGGCGGUGAGGCGUGAUUGGUUGUGGUGUGUCAGGUGGCAUGACUGGCUACACAGUGCCAGAGUCUCUGCGCUGGAGACAGAGAAGUCGCUGCAAUCCACAGUGACCCAAACAGUUCUGGGACGUCGAACAGAGGAGACCUCCACGUGCACGUGACUUUUGGUGUAGUGAGAUAACUGGCGAGGGUGUGUUGUGUGAAGUAGUGUGUUGUGUGUGCAGUUAGGGUAAGGAUAAGUGGACAGUGACUCAUUAGAUAUCUGGGCUUGUAUUCAUGGACGUCGGUUAAAUCAUCGACGUUAAAGUUAACGACCGUUGGUUAGGGAACCAACGGUUAAAUCCUAACCGACGUUAGAACUAGCGGCAUAUUCAUGGGCAAGAAAGCAUGCUGGGUUACCAAACCGACGGUCUAUUUUAGGCACUCAGGGUAUCCCCGUCACUGCGCAUGCGUUAACGGGGCGAGUACGUAGAAACCAAUAUGGCGUCAAACCAAGUUACAAAAAAGCGGAAGGCAAAUUGUUCUCACAACAAGGUGGUGAUGCUGGAGAACACUCUAAAAAUAAAAAAAUAAGUAUGUAGAACCUAUGUUCAUAUUUGUGUCGUCGCUGGGAGCCGCAACACGUACCAGCGAUGAAGUACGGGGUUAAAGUUUUCAAUUUGAAACGGGAACAUCGAGCGCGAGCAUCAGCAACGAACAAAACGGGCAAGUGAGGGGCUGCCACAAAACCCUAUGACGAUGUACAUCCUCGAUGCCAUUGUUGGGAAAGACAAAGCUAAUCAUGGGGUGAAAGGUGGUGGGCAUAUUUAAGGGAAGCCAAACUUCUGCAUGUAGUGAAUCAGUCCUUGACACAGCUGCAUAGCAAGGAUGGUAUGGUUGAUACAGGCCGCAUCAGGCAUCGGGCAAAAUUUUGGGAGUCUUCAGAAGCAUAUCAAACAGUUGAGGUGCAGACCCAACACCAACCACCGACAAUAUCUGAGCGGCCACUGAAUGAUAUUGAUGAAAUACAGAUCCCACCACAUCAGACACCAGUGGAACCAAAGCAAAAGACAAAGCAAAGCUGGAAAGACCUAAAUAAACAAAUGCCACUCCAGAGAAAGCUGAAGAACAGGCAGAGUACAGUAACUAGAGAAACCACUUUGUGGUCUGCAUAUUGAACUCACUAAACAGACACAAGACUGAACUUAUAAAGCUGAAAAUAAUGAAACUGAAAAAUGAGAUGAAAAUUAGUCACGCAGCAGAUGCAUGUGCACCUGCAAAAUAAAAAUUACUGCAAACUA
rnacentral:lncRNA from 1 species